rnacentral:rRNA from 1 species
GAUGAACGCUGGCGGCGUGCUUAACACAUGCAAGUCGAACGAUGAAGCUCCAGCUUGCUGGGGUGGAUUAGUGGCGAACGGGUGAGUAACACGUGAGUAACCUGCCCUUGACUCUGGGAUAAGCCUCGGAAACGGGGUCUAAUACCGGAUAGGACCUGCCGUCGCAUGGUGGUGGGUGGAGAGUUUUUUCGGUGUGGGAUGUGCUCGCGGCCUAUCAGCUUGAUGGUGGGGUAAUGGCCUAACAUGGCUUCGACGGGUAGCCGGCCUGCGAGGGUGCCCGGCCACACUGGGACUGAGACACGGCCCAGACUCCUACGGGAGGCAGCAGUGGGGAAUAUUGGACAAUGGGCGGAAGCCUGAUCCAGCAACGCCGCGUGAGGGAUGACGGCCUUCGGGUUGUAAACCUCUUUCACCUAUGACGAAGCUUCCGCUUGUUGGUGGGGGUGACGGUAGUGGGAGAAGAAGCACCGGCCAACUACGUGCCAGCCGCCGCGGUAAAAC